UACGUAGGGGGCAAGCGUUGUCCGGAUUUAUUGGGCGUAAAGAGCGUGUAGGCGGCUAGGUAGGUCCGUUGUGAAAACUCGAGGCUCAACCUCGAGACGCCGAUGGAAACCAUCUGGCUAGAGUCCGGAAGAGGAGAGUGGAAUUCCUGGUGUAGCGGUGAAAUGCGCAGAUAUCAGGAAGAACACCCGUGGCUAAGGCGGCUCUCUAGUACGGUACUGACGCUGAGGUGCGGAGAGCGUGGGGAGCGAACCGG
rnacentral:rRNA from 1 species